CCCUUAGAUGUUCUGGGCCGCACGCGCGCUACACUGAUUCAUGCAACAAGUUUUGUCCUUGGCUGAUAGGCCUGGGUAAUCUUUGAACGUGAAUCGUGAUGGGGAUAGAUGAUUGCAAUUAUUCAUCUUCAACGAGGAAUUCCUAGUAAACGCAAGUCAUCAGCUUGCAUUGAUUACGUCCCUGCCCUUUGUACACACCGCCCGUCGCACCUACCGAUUGAAUGGUCCGGUGAAAUCUUCGGAUCUGAGAGAUGUCUGAUUAAUUUCGGACGCCUUUUGGAAAAGUUGUUUAAACCUUACCGUUUAGAGGAAGGUGAAGUCGUAACA
rnacentral:rRNA from 1 species